GUCUACGACCAUAUCACGUUGNNAACACCGGUUCUCGUCCGAUCACCGAAGUUAAGCAACGUCGAGCCCGGUUAGUACUUGGAUGGGUGACCGCCUGGGAAUACCGGGCGUUGUAGACA
rnacentral:rRNA from 1 species